rnacentral:rRNA from 1 species
UACGUAGGGUGCAGGCGUUAAUCGGAAUUACUGGGCGUAAAGCGUGCGCAGGCGGUUUGGUAAGUCCGGUGUGAAAGCCCCGGGCUUAACCUGGGAACUGCGCUUGUAACUGGCAAGCUUGAGUGUGGCAGAGGGGGGUGGAAUUCCACGUGUAGCAGUGAAAUGCGUAGAGAUGUGGAGGAACACCGAUGGCGAAGGCAGCCCCCUGGGCUAACACUGACGCUCAUGCACGAAAGCGUGGGGAGCAAACAGG